GAGGACAAUGCUUGGCUGCCUGCUGGCCUUCUAGACUCCAGGCUUUACCAGCCACGGUUGGGUGGCAGCUACACCGCGCUGGUGCACACCUGGGGCAGCGACACUGAGGAAGGGGACUCCUGAAAGGAGAAGAGGCUGGGUGCUGAGAGCUGUGCCAGACACCGCAGGACUUGCCCAGCGUCCCCUGGCUAUGAGCUGGAGUUGCAGAUUCCAGGAGCUGAGAGUUUGAACCAUGGAUUGAGCGUCGCAGUGGGAGUCAGAGGACCACCUGCCUGUAGAACCAGGCCUGAUGGACCCGUGCUUCCUGAGGGACAGACUGUAUGGGCUGCACAGGUAGGGCCUAGGGAGCCUCAGCGAGCUCCCUGGGCUGUCAGGGCCAGAGGAGGAGGCCCCCUGGGCUCCG